CUCUGGUACUUCCACGUAAAGACUCGUGGUGGGUGUUAUCUUGCUCAUGUUGGUCGGAAGGGAGGGUUUAUUAUUUUUUUCGAAAUAAAGGGACGUCGGUCUAGUGGGCUAGCGUCGGAGAAAUGACAUGAAUAGUUUUUCUCACCGCCAUGUAUACUCGGACAAUUCAUUGGCUGAAGCAUUUCUUUCCCCGGUACGAUAGGUGGCGCUAUGCCCAUUUCAACUAGUGGUAAUAGAGUACCGGUUGACUUCUUGACGUCACUAGCAACAACAAACUUAACCGAAGGCUGCCCCGGACGGCUUGUUGUCGGAAGCUAACGUUAGCGUAGCGUGAUACCUUAUCACGUGGUUUCUGAGGUUUUCAGUAUUUCUACAAAAAUUGAGCUACGCUGGUGGUUUUAUCCAGCCCUUUGUCCUUUGUUGUUUUAAAUCCGAAAUGGUUCCAGACGUCAGACUUUACUUGGGACGGCUUGCUGAGCGGGGUUUUACCUGCGUCUGUCAUUUUUUCUCUGCGCGCUUGAACGUCAACCUGACGUAAACGCGCUGCUGCAUCAUAGAUUUUUUUUUUUCCCAGCCCUACUGCUUUCAUCCCCCCAGUCAGUCAUCUUGAACCAAGCAGGGGUGUCAAGAGCUGUCAGUAAAUUCCCUGAAAUCGAAAUCAACGACGGAUGCUUUCUCUGCUAAAAAGGUGAAGAGGCCAAUACCAGCCGAAGCUAACUUCUAUCCAUCCUUCCCUACUGGAGAAACUCAGGACAGCAUGGUAAAAGAGAGGAUAGAACUUCUGACAGAUGUUAAGAUAAGGAACCACGAAAGGGUAAUAACAGACAAAAUGGCUUGCACGUUUGCCAACAGACGACAAGAGGUGGUCAACCAAGAACCCAGCAUUCAAGACUUUAAAGACAGGUGGCCUGUCUUGUUCCAUCAGAAAGAGAUCAAUGCAGAGUUCCUGAGGCUCAUGGCUGUUCCUCUUGAGGAUAAGUUCUUUGACCAGUUAUACAUCCACUCAAGUCAGCUAAUCAGAGUCAUCCGUGCCAAAGGUGGAUCAACAUGCCAAGACUGCUGACAUCAUGGACAUUUUGGACCAGAAUAGUGGAGAUCUAUGGACGUCACCGUUGAAAUCAAAAGGGGAAAACUGCACUUUUCUUUAAUGAAUAAACCAAAAGAAAGGCAUCCACAAGGAGAAGCUGAGGAUAUGGAAAACUGUGAUCAGUACAUACCGCCUUGGAGCUCCACCCAGGCCAGAGCCAGGCAGAGGACGAAGCCCAGCUUCAUGAUGGGCUGCAACAGGCGGUCUGGGUGCCUCUAAGGUGGGACAGGGGUGGAGAACCCUCGGAUACCUGGGAGAAGCGUCACGGGCAGUUGGAGGGUGGGGGUAAUGGCGAUAGGACCGUCUGGUGUUUUUAACAGAACUCGGUUAGACUCCUAGAUCCAUUCUCCUCUUAGACCGAGAGGAAAGUGGAGUGGAAUACUUUGGGCUCCCCCACCCUCUUAAUAACUCUCUCUUUCCAGAUGUCAACGGGAGGCAAAUAUACUCACGCAUGUAAGCUCUGGCGCCCUCUGCUGGAUAAAUACAGCGCCGGUGAAAGUUCAGUUUGUCUUUGCGACGACUACAACGUCAGCAGACAGUUAUAUCUCAAAUUCAAUCAUUACCAAAAGAAUUGUAGUGAUUUAUUAAAUCAACACAAGUCUUACUUAAAUAAAACAAAAACAUUUGUUUUAUUUUAUUGUUAGUAACAAAUGAUAACACAUAAUUCCAUCGUGGAAACGUACAUGUUCUGAAAAAAUCAUGAAUUUACUUAUCUGAAGGGCAAACCGAAUCCAUGAAAAUUCAACAUUAGUAGAAAUUGCAUUAAUUGCACAUUAAACAAAAACUCCAGGUCAAACUGAUAAUGGUUCAAAAUAUUAUUUCCUCAAUGUAGUCUAACAAUGCAAAGAUGCACCAAAAAGAGAAGAUAAAUAUUCCAACAUUAUGCUAACUAAAGUUUAAUUAUAUAUAUAUAUAUAUAUAUAUAUAUCCUCAAGAACACAUUAUAUGCCCACAAGCCACUAUCAACAUGUUCAGAGAAAUUGAUGGUAAAGUCAAAGGAACAGGAAUUUUUAAUUUCCCAACAGUUUGAGGGUCAAACAAUACUAUCAGAUCCUCAAAACAACAGGUCCUAAUGUGGAUAUGCGGACUACAUCUGAUAGGUCUCUCUUCAAUGAACGAUGAACACCAGACAGCCAUAACUGUACAGCGACAUAGCUAAUACAAAUAACAGAUAGAAACAGACGGAAAAAUACACAAGUCUGUAAUACUCUGACAGAGAUUAAAAACAGAGAACAUCUUUGUUUAGUAUAGGAAUGUAACAUCAAAUAAUAAUCAAAAAACUAAAGAAAAAUAUCGAAACAAUUUAAAAAGACGACUCAACGUAACGUACCAACGACUAGUAACCAAUCAACUGUCCCACGUGGACGGAUGACCUGCUUACCCUUUAAGGUCAAAGGUUAGCAGUAACCGGUCAUUUUACUACAGCAGGUCAUUUCACUACAUUUGUUCACUCAAUUUGUUUUUUACAGGUCAAAUAUGGGUGCAACAAGUUUCUGUAGCCAAAUCUUAUAGAAUAGUCUCACAAUUUGGCACAGGUUAAAUGACACUUGUAUUUAAUACCUACAAUUACCACCAGAGAGCAUCAAGUGUAAUAAUAGCACAGCUUAACACACAAUUUAAUCAAUUCACUUAUUUGCGUAUCUAGAAACUAAAAAAAA